rnacentral:lncRNA from 1 species
GCUCUCUCAUUUCCACAAGCAGAGGAGUCACUCCCUGUGGCCACUACCCUAGACCCACAGCGAGUACUGCCUGGCUGUGACUAUGCCAAUAUUUGCUCAAGGCCCAAAGGCUCUUCAGUCAUCUUGUGGUGACUGCUGUCAGGCCUGAGAUUCUCCUUCUAUUGUUGUGGAUGCCUUUCUGGUUCAAGAUUCUCCCACCAUGUCAUACAGUGGCCUCCAGGGGAUGGAAGAGAGGUGGCACCAUCUGGUCAAGACUGUCUUUUCUCCAGUGCUUUUUUCUGUGACAAGAAAUUCAAAUCAGUUGCCAGAAGAGAUAUUCUACUCAAAUUGUGAGAAAACCAUUUCAGCCAAAGAGAGUCAAGAAAGGAAAUCUCAAGUGGAGAAGUGGAAAAGGCAAGAAGGGAAAGGGAAGAUAAUAUUGAUAACAGCAGUAAUCCUAGAUAAUAAAUCUG